AGUGAACGCUGGCGGUAGGCCUAACACAUGCAAGUCGAACGGCAGCACAGUAAGAGCUUGCUCUUACGGGUGGCGAGUGGCGGACGGGUGAGGAAUACAUCGGAAUCUACUUUUUCGUGGGGGAUAACGUAGGGAAACUUACGCUAAUACCGCAUACGACCUACGGGUGAAAGCAGGGGAUCUUCGGACCUUGCGCGAUUGAAUGAGCCGAUGUCGGAUUAGCUAGUUGGCGGGGUAAAGGCCCACCAAGGCGACGAUCCGUAGCUGGUCUGAGAGGAUGGACAGCCACACUGGAAAGGAGACACGGGCCCAACUCCCAAGGGGGGGAGCAGGGGGGAAAAUUGGACAAAGGGGGCAAACCCGAUCCCGCCAAAACGGGGGGGGGAAAGAGGCCCUUGGGGUUUAAAACCCUUUUUGUGGGAAAAAAAAACAGGCGGGUUAAACCCCCGUGUUUUGAAGGGAACCAAAAAAAAAAGCCCGGGUAAAUUUGGG
rnacentral:rRNA from 1 species